GUAGUGCAGUGGAUAGCAUGUUGGACAUCUAAUCCGAAGGUCAUGGGUUCGAAUCCCACCUCU
rnacentral:tRNA from 1 species